CUGCAUGGCCCUUGCCAGACCCCUGGGAGGGAGUGUGUCCAAACUCAGGUCAGUUAGAAUGACUUUGUUCAGAGGAACAGACCUGUUCCCCGUCUCUAAGACCAGCCUCCACUUUCCAGAAUGGAUCUUUCUUAGAAAUCUCAGAGGACCUGGGCAGGACACAGAAAGGAACAGAAGGCUGGAAGCAAUCACCCCAAACAUAGUCUCCUAGGCACCUCUUUUGCCUGAUCCUAAUCCCAGCCCCAUGGGGAUGUCUCAGAGCCCAACUCUACUCCCUACACCCCUCUAGGGGGGACUGACAGCCUCCUCCUUCCCCACCCCUUACCCCAACCAGUGCACCAAGCCCCGUGAGCCCUGCUCUUACUCCCCCUUCAGGUUCAUCUGUGUCUCGGCCGCCACAUCUGUGGCCUCCUUGUCGCCAGUUCCUCUUCUACUCAGCAGCCCAGUUUAUAGACCCCCCCAUACCCCUCAGUCUCCCCACGUGCUGCUCCACUCUGGCUAGAUGGAAGUGCUUUUAAUUCCUGGCAAACACCCUGACCCUUAUCGCUGCACCGCAAUGACCAGUUCAUUCUCUUCCUAGGUCUGGCUCAGGUGCCUCUGGGCACUCACAGCCAGGGCCGUUCAUAUGCCUGCAUCCUUGGAGAGACCAGAGGCGCCAUGGGGCCGGGUUCCCCUGUCUUCGUCCAGCCUUCUAGCCCCAGCCCAGUGGCCUGGCACAGAGAAGAUGCUCACUGAGAACCGGCUCCUCGGGACAGUUCCCACACUGCAGUGCCUCUGGUGAGGAGACAGCGCCACCGAGCUGUGGCAGGAGGAGGGGCAGGGAGCUGCUGGACCUCAUCACCGCUCUGACCCACCACAGCAGCAAAGGAGAACCCCACCGUAGGGUUGGCACCAGAGCCUGGCCUGUGUCCCUAGAGUGACUAAAAGAGCUGGCAUGCUCAGCCCAAGGAUGGGACUGGCCCAGAGAAACAAAAGCCCAGCGUCUGCGGCUCAGGGAAACCCCUGGAUGAACAGAGGGUUGGGAAGUGGGGCAGAUUGCAGCUCAACCCAAUGUGCAUUCUGUGGCUAAGAGCUGCCCAAAGACACGAGGGACAGCCCUGGUGGCGGGCAGUAAAUAUCCACAGAGGCAUACUGGCAGAGGCCGCAGUAUGCUACAGGGAAGUCCUGAUGGAGUAGGUGGCCUGGGCUCGCGGACCCCACAGACUGUGGUGCUUAGGCCUAUCUUCCCAGGGGUCUCUGCUCAGGCACAUCAAGGCUGUCAGGAACUAGGCUCAACCCUCACCAGCUCCCAUUUACAUGAAACAAGUCCUGAGUGUGCCCAGGAGAGGGGGUGUGAGAAACUCACGU